UACGUAGGGUGCGAGCGUUAAUCGGAAUUACUGGGCGUAAAGCGUGCGCAGGCGGUUUUGUAAGCCAGAUGUGAAAUCCCCGGGCUUAACCUGGGAAUGGCAUUUGGGACUGCAAGGCUGGAGUGCGGCAGAGGAGACUGGAAUUCCUGGUGUAGCAGUGAAAUGCGUAGAUAUCAGGAAGAACACCCGUGGCUAAGGCGGCUCUCUAGUACGGUACUGACGCUGAGACGCGAAAGCGUGGGGGAGCGAACAGG
rnacentral:rRNA from 1 species